UACGUAGGGUGCGAGCGUUAAUCGGAAUUACUGGGCGUAAAGCGUGCGCAGGCGGUUUUGUAAGCCAGAUGUGAAAUCCCCGGGCUCAACCUGGGAAUGGCAUUUGGGACUGCAAGGCUGGAGUGUGGCAGAGGAGACUGGAAUUCCUGGUGUAGCAGUGAAAUGCGUAGAUAUCGGGAGGAACACCAGUGGCGAAGGCGGCCGGCUGGGGGUGACCUGACGCUGAGGCGCGAAAGCGUGGGGAGCGAACCGG
rnacentral:rRNA from 1 species